UUUAAUUUCCGAGCCUUGGGGCAAAAAUGUAAUUAUGUAAAAGUUUAGGGGCAAAAUUGUAAUUUUGAAAAAGUUAGAGUCGAGGGCUGUUUUGAUGAAUGUGAUUAUUAAAUAAGUUAAAUUUACUAUUUUAGAUCAAGAAGUACGAAACUCGAGGUUAGACAAAGGGAAGAAUAAAGUUGAAGACUAAGUUGGUGAAUUUGGCUAUAAUUGGUACCGAGUAUUGCAAAGCUACUUCAAGGAUCCUAAAGAAGUCGGAGAUCGUCCACACUAUCAACCACAACUGCUCGGUAUUUUAUGUCAAAACACGUUUGAGUUAUGGCAUGUAUAGGGAUUUAGUUAUUUUGUAUGUUUGUAAUGAUGAUUUUGCUAAUGAGUGAUGUGUAAGUAUUUGAUGAUGUAUGGUCAUUAAAAUGGUUAAGGAUGAAGGUGUUUGUUGUUAUGAAA